rnacentral:tRNA from 1 species
AGAAACUUAGGUUAAACUAAACCAGGGGCCUUCAAAGCCCUAAACAGGAGACAUACUCCUAGCUUCUG